GUUCCCAUCGAUUAGUGGUCAGAUCAUCACGUUGUGGUUUACUUUCUGGGUAACGAAACCGUGGAGACGGGGGCUCGACUCCCCCUGGGAACA